GUGCCAGCAGCCGCGGUAAUACGGAGGGUGCGAGCGUUAAUCGGAAUUACUGGGCGUAAAGCGCGCGUAGGUGGCUUGAUAAGCCGGUUGUGAAAGCCCCGGGCUCAACCUGGGAACGGCAUCCGGAACUGUCAGGCUAGAGUGCAGGAGAGGAAGGUAGAAUUCCCGGUGUAGCGGUGAAAUGCGUAGAGAUCGGGAGGAAUACCAGUGGCGAAGGCGGCCUUCUGGACUGACACUGACACUGAGGUGCGAAAGCGUGGGUAGCAAACAGGAUUAGAUACCCUGGUAGUCCACGCCGUAAACGAUGUCGACUAGCCGUUGGGGUCCUAGAGACCUUUGUGGCGCAGUUAACGCGAUAAGUCGGCCGCCUGGGGAGUACGGCCGCAAGGUUAAAACUCAAAUGAAUUGACGGGGGCCCGCACAAGCGGUGGAGCAUGUGGUUUAAUUCGAUGCAACGCGAAGAACCUUACCUACCCUUGACAUCGUGCGAACUUUCCAGAGAUGGAUUGGUGCCUUCGGGAGCGCACAGACAGGUGCUGCAUGGCUGUCGUCAGCUCGUGUUGUGAAAUGUUGGGUUAAGUCCCGUAACGAGCGCAACCCUUGUCCCUAUUUGCCAGCGAUUCGGUCGGGAACUCUAGGGAGACUGCCGGUGACAAACCGGAGGAAGGUGGGGACGACGUCAAGUCAUCAUGGCCCUUACGGGUAGGGCUACACACGUGCUACAAUGGCCGGUACAAAGGGUUGCGAAGCCGCGAGGUGGAGCUAAUCCCGAAAAGCCGGUCUCAGUCCGGAUCGGAGUCUGCAACUCGACUCCGUGAAGUCGGAAUCGCUAGUAAUCGUGAAUCAGAAUGUCACGGUGAAUACGUUCCCGGGCCUUGUACACACCGCCCGUCACACCAUGGGAGUGGACUGCACCAGAAGUGGUUAGCCUAACUUCGGAGGGCGAUCACCACGGUGUGGUUCAUGACUGGGGUGAAGUCGUAACAAGGUAACC
rnacentral:rRNA from 1 species